AGGUAAUGUCUACUAGACCUUUAUCACUGUAGAUACUCGAUCAUGCUGUGGGCGCGUGCCGCCUUAGAUGUAAAUCAUCGGUGGUGUGAUGUGAGGUGGGGUUAAAUGCCCU
rfam:Paenibacillus pectinilyticus strain KCTC13222 scaffold7, whole genome shotgun sequence.